CCUCCUCGGAGCACACACCUCCUCCGCACACGCCCCUCGGACAGAGUGCCCUUCCUAAGGCGCCUGGUGGGCAGGUGGCAGAGACCGGCCGCGCCCCCGCUCAGAGCCACGGGGUGAGGCUCAGGAAGAAGACUCUCCCAGGGUGACACUCCCAGGCGCCGGGCUGAGGGCCGCCCCGCCCCGCCCGCUCCCCGGCUCUGUUUACUGCAGUGUCCUCUGUGGGGCUUGGGUGUGCUCCCAGAGACCCUGAAAGCACCUGCCGGCGAGGCCCUCACACCGCACUCCCACCUGCGGCUGCCUGCACCACCUGGAGCACUUAUGAACCCAUUUCUUCCCAAUGGCUAUGAAAAUGCCGCAUGGAUUUGGCGGUCAGAAAUCAGAUCCGUCAGUGCACCAAAGUAAGUCAGCAUGAUCAAUAGGAGUUUCCUGUAAGUCACUCCCAGGAGCAAGAAGGUGGUCAGUAAGUAAAAUGCAAUCAAGGGUCUUCGUCCUGUAAAGAAGGUAACCAAGUUUCUGGGUUAAGACUGUUACAUCCAGUCAAAGCAAUAUUAGGCGCGGGAAGCAGGAAUACUCCAUAAUAAAAGCGUGACAUGCUAAGUGUCCGCCUGAUCG